AAGCACACCACAAACACAAGGAUUUAUAGUGGUUCGGUGCCAACCUUGCACCUACAUCCACUCCCCAAGAUCCUACUUGGGAAUUUCAAUCCACUAUCCUUUGUAUUCAACCCGAAUACAAAACAUCGAAAACUCCGACACUAGCUAUCCCAAGCUAGAUCACUUGUUUUCCGGGUACAAGUAAACCCAAAAUACUCCAAUUUCAGGUUCGGAUCAACCUUUCCUUGUUUUGGAAAUCCUCUAAAAACAAGAACAAAAACUCACAAAGAGUAAGAAUAUUUAGAGCACAGAUUAAUACAAUAACAGCUCCUUAAAUGAGCAAAUAUAAUAAUAAAAAUUUUACUCAAAUGAUGAACUCCUUUUUCGAAUUUUCUCAAAGUGGAUGAACGCUUGAAUUCUUGAGAAGAGGUUGAUUAUUGAUUGAAGAUCUCUUGAAAGCUUUGAACGAUCUCUAGAUCAAGGUUGAAACAAUAGGCGUGAAGAAUUCUCUCCAUGAAAGCUCUUGCUUUUCUCUUUCACAAUCUCUCUGGUAUAUUAUGGAUCCUCUCUCUUUUUCUUUUUGAAUUUUUUUGUUGAUCUCAGGCUUUUUCGUGCAGAUUUCGGAUCCUCUCUUCUGUUCUUCUCGUUUUUGAUUUCACGUUUGAUCCGCUAUUUAAUCUGUAAUUUCUUUCACCAUUUUAAGCAUUUUGUAGCAUUAGAAGCAAGAGAAAAUAAUUUAGAUAGAUAAAGAGCCGUUAG
rnacentral:lncRNA from 1 species